GAUGAACGCUAGCGGCAGGCCUAAUACAUGCAAGUCGAACGGUGUCUUCGGACAUAGUGGCGCACGGGUGCGUAACACGUAUGCAACCUACCUUACAUUGGGGGAUAGCCUUUCGAAAGGGAGAUUAAUACCGCAUAAGACAGUAGCUGGGCAUCCAGCAGCUGUUAAAGAUUUAUCGAUGUAAGCUGGGCAUGCGUCCAAUUAGCUAGUUGGUGAGGUAACGGCUCACCAAGGCAAUGAUUGGUAGGGGAACUGAGAGGUCAAUCCCCCACACUGGCACUGAGAUACGGGCCAGACUCCUACGGGAGGCAGCAGUAGGGAAUAUUGGGCAAUGGACGCAAGUCUGACCCAGCCAUGCCGCGUGCAGGAUGAAGGCGUUAUGCGUUGUAAACUGCUUUUAUACAGGAAGAAACGACUCUUGCGAGAGGCAUUGACGGUACUGUAUGAAUAAGCCACGGCUAAUUCCGUGCCAGCCGCCGCGGUAACAC
rnacentral:rRNA from 1 species